rnacentral:rRNA from 1 species
AACGAACGCUGGCGGCAGGCCUAACACAUGCAAGUCGAACGCACCGCAAGGUGAGUGGCGCACGGGUGAGUAACACGUGGGAAUGUAUCCUUUGGUUCGGAAUAACGUUUGGAAACGGACGCUAAUACCGGAUGAGCCCUUAGGGGGAAAGAUUUAUCGCCGAAGGAGCAGCCCGCGUCUGAUUAGGUAGUUGGUGGGGUAAAGGCCUACCAAGCCGACGAUCAGUAGCUGGUCUGAGAGGAUGAUCAGCCACACUGGGACUGAGACACGGCCCAGACUCCUACGGGAGGCAGCAGUGGGGAAUAUUGGACAAUGGGGGCAACCCUGAUCCAGCCAUGCCGCGUGAGUGAUGAAGGCCUUCGGGUUGUAAAGCUCUUUUGGCGGGGACGAUGAUGACGGUACCCGCAGAAUAAGCCCCGGCUAACUUCGUGCCAGCAGCCGCGGUAACAC